CUUUUCAUAAACAGCUGAAGGAGCCACGGUGCGUCGCUGCUACAUGUACAUGGCAGAAACCCUGUUGUGCGUCUGCCCUAUUUCUCGUACCGUGGUGGCAGAAAUUUUCAUAGAGGAAACACUGCCUCGGGUUGCGCUUGGAGACUUCACAUUUUACCUGAAAGCCUGUGUUACGAAAAACAUUGACUUUUAACAGUCGGGGAGGAUCUAAUAAAAGAUGUGGUCGUGUUGCAUGAUGGGGAAAUGUGGGAUCAAGUGAUUAUACCCAUACUAGGGACUAGUAGUCAUGAUACCUCGGCCUCUGAUUCAUCAAUUGUGACGAUUUUGUCUUUUUAAUCUGCCCCUAGCAACGUUGGGGGACUUCACUAAAACACUAACUUGCUCCUCUAAAACUGCCAACACAAUCUGCUCUGUUAAUUUGUAUAGUUAUGUAUGUUUUUAUAUUGACUUUUUAUUUUAUUUUAAUAGAAGUCUGACCAAGACAUUGACUCCAUUUAAAACCGAGACUGUAUCUAAUAUAUCAAUAACUUAUACGGAACUGUUGGACAAUAAAUGUACUCUCAUUUAAAGACUGUAGGAAGAGUUGUAAGACAAAAGGUGGAUAUUGUCUAGGAAAGGUAAAGUCAAUUUGGCUUGUACUUUUAAAUUUCCUACUAAUGACAAAAUUCUUAGAUUGUUAAAGUGAUUAUGAAUCACGGUGGUGCUAGAGAGGCUUAGCAAACAUAACGGUGUGUUCAGUGUAUGUGGGUCCAACUCUGGUUAGGACAAAGAUUAGGCUCUAAUUGGCCUGCCAUGCUCAUUAACCAAUCGCCUCAGGCUGUCCAUCAUCCAUUUGUUUAUGCACACUCCUCAUUUUGUUUCUCAGAGACAAGAAUUGAUUGAUCCCUCAUCCGUGCAAGCCAAACCAACUCUGGAGGUUUAAUGAAAGCGCUCUAGGUGUUAACGUGACCCAGGCAGAGCUUUUUCUGUGCUCAUUGUUAAAGGACAAAACAGCAAUAUGAACAAUCAUACAGUAGUCGGUGUAGCAGCGAUGUGAAGCUCAGUAUCCAGGUGUCGGCUUGUAAAUCAUCUGUGUACAGUAAAUGACUGCUUCAUACGGAAGAGGAUUAGGGCCACGUGUGAAAAAUGUAUUUGAGUUCAAAAGUCAGAAUCCUGACAUUUUUUCUUCUGACUUUAAACUCGGAACUCAAAUACAUGUUUCCACACGUGGCCCUAAUUAACUUUACUUAAUCAGGGUCGUUUUGGAAACAGUUUGUCACCUUAAAUAUCCCCUUAUCAGAUUCUGUUCUGAAAAAUCUCUAUAUUUUUAAGCAAAAGGACUCAACUUUUUUGUAACCCAAAAUUAGCAUAUGCUUCCUUUUAUAGCAACCAAUUUAUAAGAGUUUUCAGAUGGAAUGAACGUAUUUUUUUCUGUUUUUUUCUACCCCUAUUUGAAUGCCACUCCAUAUUUGGUUUGAUGCCAUUUAAAUGUCUCUGGUUUGAGAAGUGUUACGCUUAACUUCUUAAAGUAUUUAUUUUAUUUACUGUAAGAAAACCUUUUCAAAGUCACUAUAUUGUACAUUUAAGAAGAUGUUUAGAGUUGAGUGUGUUUCAGUAUUUUUUGGUUGGAGGAAUAUUUAAAGUAUUAUUAUUGCCAUAUUGGAGAGAGGAUGGCGAUGGCAGACACGUGACUUUUCUUUCUGUCUUUUCUUGCUGUGACUUCAGUGCAGUUGGGUGUUUUCUAGGCUUUUCCCUGGUAGCUGUCGUGUGUCAUCUCCUGUGUCGCAGUGCAAGUGGAAGCAGCACAGAUAGCCUCUAUACCUGUUGUAGCACUGUGUUGCGUCAUCUCCCUCCAAAAAAAGUUAAGCUAGAUCUCUUAUAUUUCUCUGGCUUCACUGCCUGCUGUACAGUAUGUGGUGGUUUUGAUGUUUUUUGGAGCUUUUAGCCCUGCAGCUCUGUACUGCCGUUCCUCUGUCUGGGUGUUA